rnacentral:rRNA from 1 species
GACGAACGCUGGCGGCGUGCUUAACACAUGCAGGUCGAACGGAAAGGCCUGCUUUCCCUUGUGGAUUGCGGGUACUCGAGUGGCGAACGGGUGAGUAACACGUGAGUGAUCUGCCCCCAACUUGGGUAUAAGCCCGGGAAACUGGGUCUAAUUCCCGAUAGGACUGCAGGGUGGUGCCUGUGGUGGAAAACGAUUUUCUAGUGGUUGGGGAUGAGCUCGCGGCCUAUCAGCUUGUUGGUGGGGUAAUGGCCUACCAAGGCGGCGACGGGUAGCCGGCCUGAGAGGGUGGACGGCCACAUUGGGACUGAGAUACGGCCCAGACUCCUACGGGAGGCAGCAGUGGGGAAUAUUGCACAAUGGGCGGAAGCCUGAUGCAGCGACGCCGCGUGGGGGAUGACGGCCUUCGGGUUGUAAACUCCUUUCGACCGCGAGGAAGCCACCUGGUUGGAAGGGUGGUGACGGUAGUGGUAGAAGAAGCACCGGCUAACUACGUG